CACGUAGGGCGCAAGCGUUGUCCGGAAUUAUUGGGCGUAAAGAGCUCGUAGGCGGUCUGUUGCGUCCGCUGUGAAAACUCGGGGCUUAACCCCGAGCCUGCAGUGGAUACGGGCAGACUAGAGGUAGGUAGGGGAGAAUGGAAUUCCCGGUGUAGCGGUGAAAUGCGCAGAUAUCGGGAGGAACACCGGUGGCGAAGGCGGGUCUCUGGGCCGAUACUGGCACUGAGGAGCGAAAGCGUGGGGAGCGAACAGG
rnacentral:rRNA from 1 species